rnacentral:rRNA from 1 species
UAUUUUCCUUGUGUGCCAGCCGCCGCGGUAAUACGGAGGGUGCAAGCGUUAAUCGGAAUCACUGGGCGUAAAGCGCACGUAGGCUGUUAUGUAAGUCAGGGGUGAAAUCCCACGGCUCAACCGUGGAACUGCCCUUGAUACUGCACGACUUGAAUCCGGGAGAGGGUGGCGGAAUUCCAGGUGUAGGAGUGAAAUCCGUAGAUAUCUGGAGGAACAUCAGUGGCGAAGGCGGCCACCUGGACCGGUAUUGACGCUGAGGUGCGAAAGCGUGGGGAGCAAACAGG